rnacentral:lncRNA from 1 species
CCUCACUGGGCACCACUUCCCUCAUAUUAAUUCAAUCUUUAAUUGAUAUUGAGAAGUUCUUUUUUCCUUUGAGUCUAACAAAUAACAAGCUCUGUGCUGAAAGUAAUAACCUCACCAGAGAGAAACAUAACUAAGAGGUAGGAGAGCAACUGAACAAUACAAUAAUUAGAGGUCAUCUGUAAGACUGGAAAUUUGAAAUGACAAGGCAGAAACACUAUCGAAGUAGGAUUCAGCUAUCUUGAAAUGCAGGAUGUGUGUUGAAGGAUGCUUUUGUUGUUUGAUCUACAGUCAGGUAUGCAUUACUGUAAGUAUCAUUGUAGGUAGCUGUUGAGGGUUCUUUCUAUGUAGCAGGAACCCAGAGUCAAAAGCAACAAGCUCAUUGCUUGUUCUUGUUGUUGCUGCCUGUGCCUUAAAAAUUGUGAUUAGAACUAAAAAGGAAACAAAACUCUCGUGAUGGAUGGUUCAGCAGUUUGUAAAUCUCCUUUCCUUAUUCACACAAGAAUGCCUUGCUCUCAUCCCCUUUCCCUGUUAUCUUUUUGGGCUAACGUCAUGUGCAG